AAGCUAAAUAUUGGCGAGAGACCGAUAGCGAACAAGUACAGUGAUGGAAAGAUGAAAAGAACUUUGAAAAGAGAGUGAAAAAGUACGUGAAAUUGUUGAAAGGGAAGGGCUUGAGAUCAGACUCGGGCAACCGGGCCAGCAUGGGGUGGGGGAGUAGGAUAACCCUGCAGGAAAGUGGCUUCGCUUCGGUGGAGUGUUAUAGCCUGUAGCUAUACUGCUACCCUCGCCCGAGGACUGCGGAAACAAGGAUGCUGGCAUAAUGAUCUUAAGCCGCCCGUCUUGAAACACGGAC
rnacentral:rRNA from 1 species